rnacentral:rRNA from 1 species
CCGAACUCAGUCAAACGCCGAGUGCCAAGGACGUAUCCUUAGGAGGAAGACUGCGAGUGAUAAGAGCCUUAGUCAAAAGGGAAACAGCCCAGACCGCCAGCUAAGGUCCCAAAGUGUGUAUUAAGUGGAAAAGGAUGUUGAGUUGGUUAGACAACUAGGAUGUUGGCUUAGAAGCAUCCACCAUUUAAAGAGUGCGUAAUAGCUCACUAGUCGAGUGACUCUGCGCCGAAAAUGUACCCGAGCUAAAUACACCACCGAAGCUGUGGAUUGAUACCGAAUGGAAUCAGUGGUAGUGGAUCGUUCUAAGGACAGUGAACUCAGAGCGGUAGGACUGGAGGAGAGCUUUGUAGUGAGUAUUGCGGUAGGAGUAGCGAAAGACUGGUGCGAAACCAGUUCAUCGA